UUUCAUGUUAAAGUAAUUAUUUUCCGAAUAAUCAAAAGUAAGUAAUUCUUUAAUUUGCAAUAUGGAGUUAUUAAAUCUUUAAGAGAAAUCCGGAGGACAACAUACUCUUUUAUUUUUCUUUUGACGCUACAAAGCAUGGAGGACUAUGCCGCUGUCGUUGUUAUAUUUGUUCAAAAAUAAAUCACUGUUUGAUAUAUUUUGUUCUUAAAUUAGCGGAUUACAUAUUUAGAUUCUAGUUCUUG
rnacentral:lncRNA from 1 species